GGAGGGGUGCCGGAGUGGUUGAACGGGCCGGUCUCGAAAACCGGUGUGUCCGUCAGGGCACCGCGGGUUCGAAUCCCGCCCCCUCCGCCA
rnacentral:tRNA from 3 species